rnacentral:rRNA from 1 species
CCUACGGGAGACAGCAGUGAGGAAUAUUGGUCAAUGGGCGGGAGCCUGAACCAGCCAAGCCGCGUGAAGGAAGAAGGCGCCAAGCGUCGUAACCUUCUUUUGUCGGGGAACAAAGGGCGCCACGUGUGGCGUUGUGAGUGUACCCGAAGAAAAAGCAUCGGCUAACUCCGUGCCAGCAGCCGCGGUAAUAAGGAGGAUGUGAGCGUUGUCCGGAUGUAUUGGGUGAAAGGGGUGCGUAGGCGGUCCGGAAAGUCAGCGGGAAAAUCCCGGGGCUCAACCACGGCGAGCCGUUGAAACUGUGGGACUAGAGACGGCGAGAGGUAGGCGGAAUGCGCGGUGUAGCGGUGAAAUGCAUAGAUAUAGCGAAGAACACCGAUUGCGAAGGCAGCGUACCGGUGAACAACUGACGCUCAGGCACGAAAGCGUGGGUAUCGAACAGGAUUAGAUACCCUUGUAGUC